UACGUAGGGGGCCAGCGUUGCUCGGAAUUACUGGGCGUAAAGGGUUCGUAGGCGGUGCGGCAAGUCGAAAGUGAAAUCUCUGGGCUCAACUCAGAGGCUGCUUCCGAAACUGCCGUGCUUGAGUGCGGGAGAGGCGAGUGGAAUUACAGGUGUAGCGGUGAAAUGCGUAGAUAUCUGUAGGAACACCCGUGGCGAAGGCGGCUCGCUGGACCGCAACUGACGCUGAGGAACGAAAGCUAGGGGAGCAAACAGG
rnacentral:rRNA from 1 species